rnacentral:rRNA from 1 species
UACGGGGGGGGCAAGCGUUGUUCGGAAUUACUGGGCGUAAAGGGCUCGUAGGCGGCCAACUAAGUCGGAUGUGAAAUCCCCAGGCUUAACCUGGGAACUGCAUCCGAUACUGGAUGGCUUGAAUCCGGGAGAGGGAUGCAGAAUUCCAGGUGUAGCGGUGAAAUGCGUAGAUAUCUGGAGGAAUACCGGUGGCGAAGGCGGCAUCCUGGACCGGCAUUGACGCUGAGUGAGCGAAAGCCAGGGGAGCGAACAGG